GAUGCAGAAACAGAGUCAGAUCCA
rnacentral:siRNA from 1 species